rnacentral:rRNA from 1 species
AUUCUGCUCAGUACGAGAGGAACCGCAGAUUCAGACAAUUGGCAUUUGCACUUGGCUGAAAAGCCAAUGGUGCGGUAUGGUUUU